GUGAGCCUAGUGAUAGGAGACUAUCUAGCUUGGUUCGGAGAGCACUUGUUGGGUUAAAUAUUUUUUUGUCGCUAAAUGUUACGGCCUAAAUGCUGAACUAUUGACCCUAC
rnacentral:ncRNA from 1 species